ensembl:snRNA U6 U6 spliceosomal RNA
GUGCUUGCUUCGGCAGCAUGUAUACUAAAAUUGGAACAGUACAGAGAUUAGCAUGGCCGCUGCAUAAGGAUGACAUGCAUAUUCAUGAAGCGUUCCAUAUUUUU